CAGAAAACCAGUUGUAUUGCACUUUGAUGUUAGAUUUUUCUCCCACAAACAUAGAUCUAUAGAUUGUCUGUAAUAGUGGUAAUAAACCUCUUUUUCUCCUUCACUGUUUGAACGUCGGAUCUUGCCAUUUAUGGUGGUUCAAUUUGUAUUUGGUGUUUCUAUUAAUUGAUGUUUGUGUUAUAUAAGCCAACAAGAGCUAGAGCAUAUAUGCUACUAUUAUGAGUCAAGAACAUGUUGCUUCUUUGCGAUACUCAUUUCAAAUCCUUUGAGGCUUGAAAGUGUCGGUUCUCCUCGUCGUGUCUGUAAGUUAUGUCAUUAUUGUGUUGCCGAAAUUUUUCACUAGAACAAGAUUUGUGUGUCGUGAAAAGAGCUUAGUACCAAGAGUUGGCCGAUUCAAAAUAUGUUGGAAGUCGAAUGAAAUUGAAGUACGGGCUUCCCUCCUCUUAUUGGUAUCUAUUGUUUUUUAUCUACAAUGUUUUGUUACCAUGUGGAGAAGGAGUUACCAGUUAAGUUUUUUUAGAAUUGCCUUAAUUUUAUUGAUCUUUUGUAAUGGUAUUUCAUUUACUUACAUGUGUUAUUCUACAGUA